UACGUAGGGUGCGAGCGUUAAUCGGAAUUACUGGGCGUAAAGCGUGCGCAGGCGGUUUUGUAAGCCAGAUGUGAAAUCCCCGGGCUCAACCUGGGAAUGGCAUUUGGGACUGCAAGGCUUGAGUGCGGCAGAGGAGACUGGAAUUCCUGGUGUAGCAGUGAAAUGCGUAGAUAUGCGGAGGAACACCGAUGGCGAAGGCAAUCCCCUGGACCUGUACUGACGCUCAUGCACGAAAGCGUGGGGAGCAAACAGG
rnacentral:rRNA from 1 species